AUUAUUUCCUAAGCUAAUAUCUGUUCUAAUCUGUGUGGUGUCUGAUCUGUUCUCCACUGGAGAGCUGUGUGUUCACUAGGGUUUUUGAGAAAGGGAGUUGGAGUAGGGGCUUGCUCUGCUCAUUGCACGCAUCAGCCUGACAUUGCAGCGCUUCCAGGAGUAGUACCUCUCCC
ensembl:snRNA U2 U2 spliceosomal RNA